AUCGCCGAUAACUCCGGUGCAACCCCCGGCACUAAUUCGAACUCCUUUUCCUCCGCUACCGUAGUCGCUGCCGCAACCUCCUUGUCCACCUCCUCCGCCAUUUCCUCCGCCGCAUCCACCUUUUCCUCCGCAGUCUCUGCCGCUGCCGCCGCCUCAUCCAUUUCCUCCAUUGUCGCUGUCGCCGCCACAUUUUCCUCCUCAUCUGCCGCUCCCGCCGCUUUCUUUUCAUCCACCGUCGCCACGAAAGUUACCCCCGCCGUGUCCGGUUCUGCCG
rnacentral:lncRNA from 1 species